rfam:Syntrophobacterales bacterium GWC2_56_13 gwc2_scaffold_19818, whole genome shotgun sequence.
CCAGUCUCCCCCGGCAAAGCUGGCCGGCAGCCGGAACCGAGUCUUGCGUGGUGCGGGAGUAACCCCGGCUGCGAAACGUAGACAGGGAGCACGCAGGCCGCGUGAUAGAGCCUCGAAAUAAGACAAAUGUGGAAGCCGACGCCGUCUAAUUAGCGGAAGGCAGUAUCCGGGAGUCGGAAUGGCCUGACUUCAGGGUUCCACCGGGGUCGAAGAGCG